rnacentral:rRNA from 1 species
UAGGGAAUCUUCGGCAAUGGACGGAAGUCUGACCGAGCAACGCCGCGUGAGUGAAGAAGGUUUUCGGAUCGUAAAGCUCUGUUGUAAGAGAAGAACGAGUGUGAGAGUGGAAAGUUCACACUGUGACGGUAUCUUACCAGAAAGGGACGGCUAACUACGUGCCAGCAGCCGCGGUAAUACGUAGGUCCCGAGCGUUGUCCGGAUUUAUUGGGCGUAAAGCGAGCGCAGGCGGUUAGAUAAGUCUGAAGUUAAAGGCUGUGGCUUAACCAUAGUACGCUUUGGAAACUGUUUAACUUGAGUGCAAGAGGGGAGAGUGGAAUUCCAUGUGUAGCGGUGAAAUGCGUAGGUAUAUGGAGGAACACCGGUGGCGAAAGCGGCUCUCUGGCUUGUAACUGACGCUGAGGCUCGAAAGCGUGGGGAGCAAACAGGAUUAGAUACCCUGGUAGUCCACGCCGUAAACGAUGAGUGCUAGGUGUUAGACCCUUUCCGGGGUUUAGUGCCGUAGCUAACGCAUUAAGCACUCCGCCUGGGGAGUACGACCGCAAGGUUG